GUGAGGCAGUCCAGGUUGCAGGAUUGGUUUACAUCCUAGAAUGCAAGAAGCACUUUUGAGCACAGCGUCAGAAGCAUGGCGAAAGCACUACCACCACCACUGCUGAGAGAUCAGCUUCUGUUGAAAAGAAAAAACAUUUAGUUCAGGUACCUCCUAAUCCACAUGCUGAUACCAAAACCAAGGAGAGAUAAGCUCUGGAAGGCCUCAUUGUCUUCAUCUGGUGUUGAUCUAUGAACUUUCCAAGUGGAAAUGGUUUAGAGUCUCUACGCCAUAGCUAGGGAAUAAGAACAAGCAAGAGCAGAUGGGAGCAACACAAGUACAGGAGUCUUAGCACCUGAAUUAGCCACAGCUGUCACUGCAACAGCUGAAUGCUUUUCACCUUGCAAUGAAGAUGUUACUGGCACCACUGAGGCUGGACAAAGAUGAAGACAAACCAUGCUACAGAUGACCAAAGGGAAUUCUGCUUUUCCAAAACAUGCUGGAAUUAGAUCUGAAGUACAGCUCUGCAGUGUAGAAUGGAUUGUAGCAGUUUAGAAUAAAGCAGCCACACAGUGCUUUUCAUUGUCAUUUGUGCUUCCUGCCAGGCCUAUCAAAAUUAUUUAGAAACUUUGCAGAGGUUUGUGGUUGACACAGAAAUUCAGAGUUUCUAAGGAAGGGGGAGGGGAGACUGAAGUGAGGCCUUGUGGGCUAAAUAGAACCACAACAUUCUACGCUGCAUUUGACUACCACAGCCCUGAAAAAAGGAGCUUUGUCCCACAAUGGUUACAGGCCCGAAUGCACAGCCUUGAUUUGACUAGCUAAGACUGAGAUUGAUCCUGCAGUCUCCACCAUAGCAUA